CGCUCCGAGCGCAGGAGUUUGGUGAUGUCACCCUGGCCUGGUCUGGAGCCGAGCCAGGGCUGCUGGCAGGCUGGAGCCGCUCGCCCUGCGCGGGGAGAGGCCCAGGCCUGCUGCGCCCGCACGGGCGGGCGGCUCAAUUCCACGCGGUUUCCUAACCGGGCCGGGCCUUCUGGGGACCGCGGCACCUCACAGGCCGUAUGCGCCCCAACCUAGAUCCGGUCGAGCGCGGGAGCCUGCUUCCCCGAGGCGAGAUUGAGGCCGUGGAGGGGAGUGUGGGCAGACGGAGGGCUGGACGCCGGUGCCUCUCAAGAGUUUAAGGAGUCGCGGAGGGCAGUGAAUGCUGGAAGACACUCAGGGUUUCGACUCUGCAGAUAGGUGCUGUCUGCUGAGGUCCAGACCCUUAAGGAUCUCCGGAACCAGCCAGGGUCACACCACUCGCACACCUCCUGAAGGCCCCUCACUUGAGCCCAGGCUCCAGUGAUGGAAAGCAUUUGUAGGGUGCGAAAAUUGCCGCCUAAGCCAAGGGCAGGUGUGCUGGUUGAAUGUGGGGUCCCGGGCUGGAGGACUCUCCCCCUCAGGCCGUCUUCCCAGUACUGGAACGAGGAGGCUCCACUAUGGGCAGGGGAGGCUUUAGCACAUGGAGAAAGACUUAUUUUCUAAAUUAGGAAAUCAUGUGGGAAUUGGAAAAAAUUGGAAAUUCUGACUUGCUUUCCCAGGGUCGGAAAAAAACAGGAAGACAAAAGUGAAAAUAGUUAACGCCCCUCCCACUCAUUUCAGUUUCUCACUCGGCGAAGAUUAGAAAAAGCGGUUUAAUGCUGUGCGGGGGCGGCUUCAAGGCGACAGAAUGAAUUAUGAUCUCUGAUUAAGGGCACACAGCCGUCAUUGAUCCUUGCACGAACCACUUUUUAAAACGAACAUACAGUUUAAUAUGAAAACCUGUGAUCUUAUCGAAAAGGGCUAGAAAUGGCAGCUCAUUAGAGGGCUGGCUUAAUAUGCAGGAAACUGGGUUUGACCCUGACCCCAUGAUGGCUAGCAGUCCCAGCACUCAUGGGGUCAGAAGUUCAAGGUCAUCUGCCACUACAUAGCUUGAGAGCCUCUCUGAAAACGAAUGACUACAGGCUGGAGAAAUAGCCCACCCGUUAAGAUCCACUGACUCCCUCACCGAGCAGCUCACAACUGUAACCCCAGCCUCAGGAGACCCCACACUGUCCUGGACUCUUGAGGGCAAGGGCACUCAACCUGUGCAAGGACCCACACAGACACACGUGCAUACAUAAUUAAAAAUAUAGAUUUAAUCCCGGCACUCUGGAGACAGAGGCAGGAGGAUUUCUGAGUUUGAGGCCAGUGUGGUAAAUUCAUAGUGGUGCUGGCCAGCCAGGAUUACACAGACCCUGUCUCAAAAGAGAAAAACAAACGGAGCUUUGUUUACAUAGAGUUCUGGGUCAACCAGGGCUGUGCAGUGAAACUGUCUCAGAGGAGAGGCUAGAAGUACAGCUCAGUGUCCGAGCACUUGACCAGCAUGUUGGGGACCCUGCUUUCCAUCCCCAAUACUUGAAAAAAAGAAGUCAAGAGAAUGAAGGGGAUGCAUAGGACACCCACCUCACCCAUGUCCACAAAUGUGCUCCUCGCUGGCCAUUCUUUUUUCCUUGAGUUCAGGCUCCUCCCACGCAGAUUUCUACACUUUAAAGAGAAACCUCGUCACGUGCACACAUCAUCUGUGUGCAUCUCUGUGGGAGCAUGCUGCAGUCACAUGGAAGUCAGGACAGCUUUUCACCACGUGGGUCCCUAGGAUCAAACCCAGAUUGUCAGGCUUGAUGACAGGUGUUUUUUGUUUUUGUUUGUUUGUUUGUUUGUUUUGAGACAGGAUUUCUCAGUGUAGGACUCACACUGUAGACCAGGCUGGCCUUAGACUCGCUGAGAUCUGCCUCCUGAGUGCUGGGGCGAAAGGUGUGCACCUCCAUACACAGCACACAUUAUCUCGUUCUCUACUUAGAGUUUACCAUUACUGUGUGCCCGUGCCGUCCAUGGAUGUGGAGGUCGGAGGCGAGCGCUGAGGAGUGUUCAGGUGCCUGUAGAGUCCAGAAGAGGAGAGAAAUCCCCCAGAGCUGCUGUUACAGUCAACUGUGAGGAGCCAGAUGCGGGUGCUAAGGCACCACCCGGGGAACCAUGUAAUUACAGAAGUGUAUGAGAUGCUUCAAGUUACUGUGGUGGAGCAAGAAUGGCCUCCAUAGGAUCAUGUAUUUGGAUGCUUGGUCUUCAAGGAGUGACAGUACUUGAGAGGAAUUAGGAGUUUGCCUGUGUCCACUGUGCUUCCCAGUGUGCUGACGAUGGAUUAAACCCGAGGCUGUAAGCCAGCCAGCAAGCAGCACCCUCACGGCCUCUGCAUCAGCUCCUGCCUCCAGGUUCCUCCCCUUGUUUGCGUUCUUGCCCUGAUUUCCCUUGGUAAUGGGACUGUUACUAGGAAGUAUAAGAUGAAAUAAACCCUUUC